rnacentral:rRNA from 1 species
GAUGAACGCUAGCGGCAGGCCUAAUACAUGCAAGUCGAGGGGCAGCGCGGUAGCAAUACUGGCGGCGACCGGCGCACGGGUGCGUAACGCGUAUGGAACUUGCCCUUUACUGGGGAAUAGCCCGGAGAAAUUCGGAUUAAUACCUCAUGGUAUGCAGGAGAGGCAUCUCUUUUGUAUUAAAGAUUUAUCGGUAAAGGAUAGUCAUGCGUCAGAUUAGCUAGUUGGCGGGGUAAUGGCCCACCAAGGCGAUGAUCUGUAGGGGGUCUGAGAGGAUGAUCCCCCACACUGGUACUGAGAUACGGACCAGACUCCUACGGGAGGCAGCAGUAGGGAUAUUGGUCAAUGGGCGAGAGCCUGAACCAGCCAUGCCGCGUGCAGGAAGAAGGCCCCUCUGGGGUUGUAAACUGCUUUUGACUAGGGCCAAAAUACUCAUGCGUGAGGAAUUGAGAGUACUAGUAGAAUAAGCACCGGCUAACUCCGUGCCAGCAGCCGAC